GUGCCAGCCGCCGCGGUAAGACGAACCGUGCGAACGUUGUUCGGAUUCACUGGGCUUAAAGGGCGCGUAGGCGGCUCGCCAAGUCGGGGGUGAAAUCGUUCGGCUCAACCGGACAACAGCUCCCGAUACUGGCGGGCUGGAGGGAGGUAGGGGCGACUGGAACUUCCGGUGGAGCGGUGAAAUGCGUAGAUAUCGGAAGGAACGCCGGUGGCGAAAGCGAGUCGCUGGACCUCUUCUGACGCUGAGGCGCGAAAGCCAGGGGAGCAAACGGGAUUAGAUACCCCCGUAGUCC
rnacentral:rRNA from 1 species